rnacentral:rRNA from 1 species
AUGUUUACCACUAAAUCCCUGCAUCAUGCCAUUGUAGCUACUCCGGGCCCCACCGAGCUUACGGUCCCAUGGGAGAUCAAAUUGCCACUGAAGAUUCGUAUCUUCCUGUGGCAAUGGGCCCCUGGUCGCCUGCCUUCGGGCACAGAAGUGCUUAAGCGGAAUGGCCCGGGUGAUGGGCUAUGCCCUUUGUGUGGAAUCCCGGAAGACUCCAACCAUAUUUUCUUUCAGUGUCCGGCAGCAAGGUUCCUCUGGACUUGCUUCUGGAAGGUAGUUGGAGGGGGUAUGGUGCCGUGA